UGCCCGCAAGGGAAUGUAGUGAGAGGUGCUGCAUGGCUGUCGUCAGCUCGUGUUGUGAAAUGUUGGGUUAAGUCUCGCAACGAGCGCGACCCCUAUCGUCUGUUGCCAGCAUUAAGUUGGGCACUCUGACGAGACUGCCUGGGUUAACCAGGGGGAAGGUGGGGAUGACGUCAAGUCCUCAUGGCCCUUAUGUCUAGGGCUACACACGUAAUACAAUGGCGCGUACAAAGGGAAGCGAACUCGCAAGGGGGAGCAAAUCUCAAAAAGCGCGUCUCAGUUCGGAUUGGAGUCUGCAACUCGACUCCAUGAAGUUGGAAUCGCUAGUAAUCGGAGAUCAGCACGCUCC
rnacentral:rRNA from 1 species